rnacentral:rRNA from 1 species
AUUAAACGCUGGCGGCAUGCCUUACACAUGCAAGUCGAACGGUAGCGCGGGGCAACCUGGCGACGAGUGGCGAACGGGUGAGUAAAGCAUCGGAACGUGCCCUGGAAUGGGGGAUAACGUAGCGAAAGUUACGCCAAUACCGCAUAUUCUGUGAGCAGGAAAGCAGGGGAUCGCAAGACCUUGCGUUCUGGGAGCGGCCGAUGUCGGAUUAGCUAGUUGGUGGGGUAAAAGCCUACCAAGGCGACGAUCCGUAGCGGGUCUGAGAGGAUGAUCCGCCACACUGGGACUGAGACACGGCCCAGACUCCUACGGGAGGCAGCAGUGGGGAAUUUUGGACAAUGGGCGGAAGCCUGAUCCAGCCAUGCCGCGUGAGUGAAGAAGGCCUCGGGUUGUAAAGGACUCUUUCCGGUUGGGGAAGGAAAGUUAGC